CGGCGGACGGGUGAGUAACGCUGGGUAACCUACCCUGUACACACGGAUAACAUACCGAAAGGUAUGCUAAUACGGGAUAAUAUAUUUGAGAGGCAUCUCUUGAAUAUCAAAGGUGAGCCAGUACAGGAUGGACCCGCGUCUGAUUAGCUAGUUGGUAAGGUAACGGCUUACCAAGGCGACGAUCAGUAGCCGACCUGAGAGGGUGAUCGGCCACAUUGGAACUGAGACACGGUCCAA
rnacentral:rRNA from 1 species